AUAUGUGCCUACUGAAUAUUUAAAAUAUGGCUAGUGUGACUGGGAGCUGAAGUUUCCAUUUUAUUUAGACUUAACUAGCUCAAAUUUAAAUAGCCACAUGUAACUUAUGGCUUGGUAUUGGACAGCAUAGAACAUCUAUAGAAAAUCAAAAGCAGUGGGUAAAAAAUGAGGAAUCAGAAGAAGUUGCCUGGGGACUAUAUAAUUCAGCUCUGAUGGGGAUAUACAAUGACAAACAGAGGUAAAGUUAACCUCUACCUGUGGUUCAGGAGGAGGAGCGCCCCCUGCCUUCUGUCCCUAACCUGCUCAGAACAUCAUUGACAAUGAGCUGUCCAUGCUUGAGAAGAUCUGCAGAGCCAUGAAAAUAAAGAGAACUUCACGUA